rnacentral:rRNA from 1 species
UACGUAGGGGGCUAGCGUUGUCCGGAUUUAUUUGGGCGUAAAGAGCGUGUAGGCGGCCAUGUAGGUCCGGUGUGAAAACUCGAGGCUUAACCUCGAGAUGUCAUCGGAAACCAUUUGGCUAGAGUCCGGAAGAGGAGAGUGGAAUUCCUGGUGUAGCGGUGAAAUGCGCAGAUAUCAGGAAGAACACCAAUGGCGAAAGCAGCUCUCUGGGACGGUACUGACGCUGAGACGCGAAAGCGUGGGGGAGCGAACAGG